CAUCGCCCGGACGGCCUGGCUGACGGCCGGACUUCCAGAACACGUUCCUGGCGUGACGGUGGACCGGCAGUGCGGUUCGUCGCAGCAGGCGGUGC
rnacentral:tRNA from 1 species